AACGAACGCUGGCGGCAGGCUUAACACAUGCAAGUCGAACGCACCUUUCGGGGUGAGUGGCAGACGGGUGAGUAACGCGUGGGAAUCUACCCUUCUCUACGGGAUAGCUCCGGGAAACUGGAAUUAAUACCGUAUACGUCCUGAGGGAGAAAGAUUUAUCGGGGAAGGAUGAGCCCGCGUUGGAUUAGCUAGUUGGUGGGGUAAAGGCCUACCAAGGCGACGAUCCAUAGCUGGUCUAAGAGGAUGAUCAGCCACAUUGGGACUGAGACACGGCCCAAAAUCCUACGGGAGGCAGCAGUGGGGAAUAUUGGACAAUGGGCGCAAGCCUGAUCCAGCCAUGCCGCGUGAGUGAUGAAGGCCCUAGGGUUGUAAAGCUCUUUCAGUGGGGACGAUAAUGACGGUACCCACAGAAGAAGCCCCGGCUAACUUCGUG
rnacentral:rRNA from 1 species